rnacentral:ncRNA from 1 species
UCAAGGUACAGACGUAGGUACUGUUGUACAGUCAUAAGCGAUCGAAUUGAUUAAGCGUAUUGUAAAUACGUCGCCUGGCUAGGGUAAACCUUCUAAUUAUAGAAGGUUUACUUUUUUUAUG